rnacentral:rRNA from 1 species
GGAUUAGAUACCCUAUUAUUUUUAAUGUAAAUUUUUUACUUGAGUAGUAUUAGAUUUUUCUUGAAACUUAAAGAAUUUGGCGGUAUUUUAUUCUUUUUAGAGGAAUCUGUUCUGUUAUCGAUAUUCCACGUUGAAUCUUUCUUAAAUUAUUAGUUUAUAUAUCGUCGUUGUUUGAUUAUUUUUUUAGGUUUUUAAUUUUCUUAAAUUAUGUUAUUAUAAAGUAUUUCAGAUCAAGGUGUAGCUUAUAUUUAAGUAGUAAUGGAUUACAAUAUUUUUUUAAUAUUAUGGAUUAUAAUUUAUAAUUGUUAUAUGAAAGUGGAUUUAAUAGUAAUUUUAUAAAGAUUAUUAACUUGAAAUUAGCACUAUAAUAUGUACAUAUUGCCCGUCGCUCUCGUUAAUUUAAGAUGAGAUAAGUC